GACAGAGGUGCCAAGCGUUAGGCGGAAUCACUGGGCUUAAAGCGUGUGUAGGCGGAAUGGUAAGUACCUUGUGAAAUCCCACGGCUCAACCGUGGAACGGCCCCGGGUACGGGCGGCCUCGAGGGGGGUAGGGGCGUGCGGAACUGUGGGUGGAGCGGUGAAAUGCGCAGAUAUCGGGAGGAACACCAAUGGCGAAGGCAGCUCGCUGGGACGGUACUGACGCUGAGACGCGAAAGCGUGGGGAGCAAACAGG
rnacentral:rRNA from 1 species